rnacentral:rRNA from 1 species
CGGAGGGUGCGAGCGUUGUCCGGAAUCACUGGGCGUAAAGGGCGCGUAGGCGGCCUGAUAAGUAGGGGGUGAAAUCCUGCGGCUUAACCGCAGGGCUGCCUUCUAAACUGUCAGGCUCGAGCACAGUAGAGGCAGGUGGAAUUCCCGGUGUAGCGGUGGAAUGCGUAGAGAUCGGGAAGAACAUCAGUGGCGAAGGCGGCCUGCUGGGCUGUUGCUGACGCUGAGGCGCGACAGCGUGGGGAGCAAACAGGAUUAGAUACCCUGGUAGUCCACGCCGUAAACGAUGGGCACUAGGCGUCGGGGGGAGCGACCCUCCCGGUGCCGUCGCUAACGCAGUAAGUGCCCCGCCUGGGGAGUACGGCCGCAAGGCUG